rnacentral:rRNA from 1 species
UACGUAGGGUGCGAGCGUUAAUCGGAAUUACUGGGCGUAAAGCGUGCGCAGGCGGUUUGCUAAGACCGAUGUGAAAUCCCCGGGCUUAACCUGGGAACUGCGUUUGAAACUACAAGGCUAGAGUGUGGCAGAGGGGGGUGGAAUUCCACGUGUAGCAGUGAAAUGCGUAGAGAUGUGGAGGAACACCGAUGGCGAAGGCAGCCCCCUGGGUUAACACUGACGCUCAGGCACGAAAGCGUGGGGAGCAAACAGG